CCUACGAGACGCAGCAGUGGGGAAUAUUGCACAAUGGGGGAAACCCUGAUGCAGCGACGCCGCGUGAGUGAAGAAGUAAUUCGUUAUGUAAAGCUCUAUCAGCAGGGAAGAAAAUGAGGGUACCGGAGUAAGAAGCCCCGGCUAACCACGUGCAAGCAGCCGCGGUAAUACGUAGGGGGCAAGAGUUAUACGGAUUUACUGGGUGGAAAGAGCGCGUAGACGGCAGUGCAGGUUUGGAGUGAAAGGCGGGGGUUAAACCCCCGGCCUGAUCUGGAAACUGUACGGCUGGAGUGCCGUAGAGGUAAGUAGAAUUCCUAGGGUAGCGGUGAAAUGCGUAGAUAUUAGGAGGAAUACCAGUGGCGAAGGCGGCUUACUGGACUGUAACUGACGUUGAGGCUCGAAAGCGUGGGGAGCAAACAGGAUUAGAUACCCCUGUAGUC
rnacentral:rRNA from 1 species